GAUGAACGCUGGCGGCGUGCCUAAUACAUGCAAGUCGAGCGAACAGACGAGGAGCUUGCUCCUCUGACGUUAGCGGCGGACGUGUGAGUAACACGUGGAUAACCUACCUAUAAGACUGGGAUAACUUCGGGAAACCGGAGCUAAUACCGGAUAAUAUAUUGAACCGCAUGGUUCAAUAGUGAAAUACGGUUUUUCUGUCACUUAUAGAUGGAUCCGCGCCGCAUUAGCUAGUUGGUAAGGUAACGGCUUAUCAAGGCGACGAUGCGUAGCCGACGUGAGAGGGGGGUCGGCGGCCCGGGAAGGGGGACGGGGACAAGAGGACUGAGGGAGGGAGCAGUAGGGAAUCGGCCGCAAUGGGGGAAAGCAUGACGGAGCAAGGCGGAGUGAGUGAUGAAGGUCUUCGGAGCGUAAAACUCUGUUAUUAGGGAAGAACAAAUGUGUAAGUAACUAUGCACGUAUUGACGGUAACUAAUAAGAAAGCAACGGCUAACUACGUG
rnacentral:rRNA from 1 species